rnacentral:rRNA from 1 species
CCCUUAGAUGUCCUGGGCUGCACGCGCGCUACACUGAUGCAUUCAACGAGUCUAAAACCUGCUCUGAUAGGGGUGGGUAAUCUUUUGAAUGUGCAUCGUGAUUGGGAUAGAUGAUUGCAAUUUUUCAUCUUCAACGAGGAAUGCCUAGUAAACGCAAGUCAUCAGCUUGCAUUGAUUACGUCCCUGCCCUUUGUACACACCGCCCGUCGCUCCUACCGAUUGAAUGAUCCGAUGAAUAUCAUGGAUUGAGGAUUAUAGCAGGUUCGCCUGUCUUGAUCUUCGAGAAGUGAAGUAAAUCUUAUCAUUUAGAGGAAGGAGAAGUCGUAACA